UACGGAGGAUGCGAGCGUUAUCCGGAUUUAUUGGGUUUAAAGGGUGCGUAGGCGGAUCGCUAAGUCAGUGGUCAAAUUGAGGGGCUCAACCCCUUCCCGCCAUUGAAACUGGCGAUCUUGAGUGGAAGAGAAGUAUGCGGAAUGCGUGGUGUAGCGGUGAAAUGCAUAGAUAUCACGCAGAACCCCGAUUGCGAAGGCAGCAUGCCGGCUUCCGACUGACGCUGAAGCACGAAAGCGUGGGGAUCGAACAGG
rnacentral:rRNA from 1 species